rnacentral:rRNA from 1 species
UACGUAGGGAGCAAGCGUUGUCCGGAAUCAUUGGGCGUAAAGCGCGCGUAGGUGGCUUCGUAAGUCCGUUGUGAAAGUCAAAGGCUCAACCUUUGAAAGCCGAUGGAUACUGCGGAGCUAGAGUACGGAAGAGGCGAGUGGAAUUCCGUGGUGUAGCGGUGGAAUGCGCAGAUAUCAAGGAGGAACACCAAUAGCGAAGGCAGCUCGCUGGACGUUACUGACACUGAGGCGCGAAGCGUGGGAGCGAACAGGAAUUAG